UGGGCUUUGCUAAUCUUGUCGGCUCUGAGCCCAUCCAGAUUUGGGCCUGUUGGGCCUAUUCUAGAUGCGGCCCUCGACUGAAAGCCCGGCCUUUGACAGUCGACACACAGUGGUAGAGAGGAGACCGAAGUCGAGCUCCAUCCGCCGGACACCGGUAACCCUCACGCCGGCACGCCGCCGCCGGAGCGCCAUGAUCCACCUUCGGAAGCGCAUCGUCUCCCUCCUCCCCCGGACACCAACCCGCGUCCCUUGCCCCCACAACUCCCCGCUCUUCUAUCCCCACCGCCUUCUCUCCGCCACCAAAUGCGUCGCUACAACUACAAACCAGUUCGCCGUCGAGGACUACCUCGUCGCCACCUGCGGCCUCACCCGAGCACAGGCGCUCAAGGCGUCGUUGAGAAUCUCCCAUCUGAAGGACGCCUCGAGGCCCGACGCGGUCGUGGCCUUCCUCUCCAACCUCGGUCUCUCCAGCGCCGAGGUCACCGCUGUCGUCACCAGGGACCCCAAGGUCCUCUGCUCCGACGUGGAACGAACCCUCACCGCCCGCGUCGCCGAGCUCACCGACCUCGGGCUGUCACGUCCGGAGAUCAUCCGCCUCCUCAUCGUUGGCAUGAACCACUUCCGCCACGGCUCGCUUCGCCUCAAUGUUGAGUUUUGGAUCUCGGUCUUUGGCUCCCUAGACGAGCUCAUGCGGGUGCUCAGAAUUAACAACGUUCUCCUCAGCAAAAACAUUGAGAAGGUGUGCAAGCCCAACUUGGCGCUCAUUCAGAAAUGUGGUAUAGAUGUUUCUGAGAUCCCCAAAAGCUUCAUGUCCCGGGUGCUCACCGUGGACCCUAAGAGGCUGCUGGAAGCUUUGGCUCACCUUCAUGAGUAUAGAAUCCAGCAGGGCUCGCAAUUGUUCAUCCGCGGGCUCUAUACAUUUGCGAUCCUUGGCAGUGAGAAGAUAACCAAGAGGAUACAGCUGUUUGAGAAGCUUGGAUGGUCAAAGGAUCAUAUAGUAUCAGCGGUAAAGAGUGACCCAAAUAUAUUGGGUUUCACCGAGGAAAGGGUUCGAAGAAGCAUGGAAUUCUUGAUCGGGGUCGUUGGAUUGGAGGUACAAUACAUUGCACAAAGGCCAGCACUGAUAACUUGUAGCAUUGACCGACGGUUGCUGCCACGGAACUGUCUGAUGAAUUUUCUCAGGGCAAAGGGGCUGUUCAAUGACAAGCCUACCUUCUUUUCUGUUGCCUCUUUAAGCGAUAAGAAAUUUCGACGUCGAUACGUGCAUCCUUACGAGGAGAGAUUUCCAGGCCUUGCUGCUGCUUUUGCUUCUAGCAGUGCUGGAGAACACCAAUGGGAACGGCUAUAUAAGAUGACAGGCGAAAAUAGAGAGAGCUGACACUUGUUCUGGAAAGUGCUAUUAGGAACCUGUUGCAAGCUUUGUUUUUCAUCCCCAUUGAAAGAGUUGAUAUAUUCUUGCAACAACCAGAUUGUCAUUGUUCGGUCAUAAUUGACAAGGAAAUGCAGACAAAGUUACUGUCAAGGCUUCCCAAUUUCUAUCCAGUAAGGGCAAUGUUUUGGACUUCUUGGUUCAAAUGGUGCUGGAAAAACCUCUCAUUAGCAUGUUAUGGAAAUCAUAUUUUGUAUAGUAAAUUUCUUGAGCCUCUUAUUGACCUUGAGUAGUAGGAUGUUAAUGUUAUGUUUGGUAUCUACAGUAGUAUUUUAACCUCUUGGUGCUUAGAGGGAAAAUGAAAUUCAAAUAUCCCUUUCAAAAAAAAAAAAAAAUUGAACAAUUUUAAGAGUGCAGCCAUACAUUUAUUUAAAUAAGGCAACAUCAAUAAGAGGUUCAUGUAGGAAUAUAUUAAAAUUCUAUUAUUUGCUUUUUUUUUUUUGCAGCGGUUUAUUUUUAGCUUUUGUUGAUGUGCAGAUAUGAUUGAUUUUUUAUUGCUACUUCAGAUUAUGAAAUUUCCUUGUCCUGACAACAGCUGACUGGACUUACUAAACCUACAUCUGCUUACUGUGGGAAACACUAACUGGCUGAGGGCAUUUGAUGUUCUAUGGCAGACUAGAGAGAUUGAACGGUGCAGCAUCAGUAUUAGGCAUUAGCUAGGUACUGCCUGGGUACAGAGUGCUCUGCUAUUUUGUUUUCAUGAGUCUGAUAUACUUCUAUUUCCAAGGGUUAGAUAUAUUUCAUUUUCCAAGCUGAAGUACCAUGCAUUAUUAAGUUUAUUUGAAGAUGUAUGCCACUUUCAUAUUUUAAUCGAUUUAUUUACCUUAUCAUUGAGAGUCUAGAAACCAUUUGUGAUAAGUCCAUGUUACCAUAGAUACUAGAUUUCAAUUGGUUCAAAAGCCAUUGGUAAUGCAGCCUGUCUUGAGCUGACACACUUUGAAAACUCCAAAUUCGAAAUGUAAGGUUGCUAUCAUAUAUCUGCAUAUUUGUAACUUACCAUGUAUCCUAGUUUACAAGUGGAAGUUCAGACUGUCAUCUUCUUAUUCAAAAAGAGUGAUAAAAUAAGUUCUCAUAUAUUGUUUGGAUGGGAUUGUCGCUUAUUGUGUUGUUGCUAUUAGUCAUUCAUCCACAUUCUGGAUUAAACCAAAAUAAUUGUCCUGGCGUAGCAACUAGAAAGUAGUAAAGGACUCAAAGUUUUCUAUUUCUUUUCUCCAGGCUGCAGAACAAUCUCUAAAAGUAGCAAAGUACCACAAGUUAGUUACCAAUUAACUUUUAGAAAUAUUGACUUCAAAAAGGCUACCACUAGGGCAUUUGGUUGUAAUUAUCAUAUUUAUGACUCAGCAUCCACCCAAAUAAUUAGGGUUCAAUCUAAUCAUGGAAACUUUUUUUUAAUAAAAAAACACCAAGGUUUUGUUUGGAUGUUGUUAGAUUCACCUAAGUCCACCCCAACACAUAUACGAAUCUGAUUACAUCCAAACAAAACGUAACAUGGAUAGUGCACCCUCUUGGACCCUUCUAUUAUUAUCAGCCAUUAAGGCCUUAUUUAGUUUGAGGCUGAAAAGUUUUUGGAUGUCACAUCGAAUGUCACGUG